rnacentral:misc_RNA from 1 species
ACGAUAUAUAGGAGUAUGCUGCCACCGCG